rnacentral:sRNA from 2 species
CCCUAGCCCUGAUAGAAGCGGUAUCCUUUUUAGGGCUUUUUUUGCCCGAAAAAGAUAUAGCGGAUAGCAGGAAAUAGC